rnacentral:lncRNA from 1 species
AUCUCAAAUUAUUUAACCAAAUGGACUAAGCACAUAAUAAUAAUGGACUGUACAGACUGCCAGGUUUCUUUCCUAUACUUUGUGCGAUUAUCACCAGGAAGUUUCUCUCUGGGUCUCAUAAUCCACAACACCUGAGUGUAUCACAUGAGUGUGCAGGACAAUGAAGACACAGUGGAACACAACUAGACUUUCUGUAGACUAACCUGGA